UCCUGGCUCAGGAUGAACGCUAGCGGCAGGCCUAACACAUGCAAGUCGAGGGGUAACAGAAGUAGCAAUACUUGCUGACGACCGGCGCACGGGUGAGUAACGCGUAUGCAACCUACCUUUGACUGGAGAAUAGCCCGAAGAAAUUCGGAUUAAUGCUCCAUGAGACCACAAUACCGCAUGAUAUAGUGGUAAAAGCUCCGGCGGUCAAAGAUGGGCAUGCGUGCCAUUAGUUAGUUGGUGAGGUUACGGCUCACCAAGACAACGAUGGCUAGGGGGUCUGAGAGGAUGAUCCCCCACACUGGUACUGAGACACGGACCAGACUCCUACGGGAGGCAGCAGUGAGGAAUAUUGGUCAAUGGACGCAAGUCUGAACCAGCCAUGCCGCGUGCAGGAUGAAUGCCCUAUGGGUUGUAAACUGCUUUUCUACAAGAAGAAACUUCCUGAUGUAUCAGGAACUGACGGUAUUGUAGGAAUAAGCAUCGGCUAACUCCGUGCCAGCAGCCGCGGUAAUACGGAGGAUGCAAGCGUUAUCCGGAUUCAUUGGGUUUAAAGGGUGCGUAGGCGGGGUAGUAAGUCAGUGGUGAAAGCCUGCGGCUUAACCGUAGAAUUGCCAUUGAUACUGCUAUUCUUGAGUGCAGUUGAGGUAGGCGGAAUGUGUAAUGUAGCGGUGAAAUGCUUAGAUAUUACACAGAACACCGAUUGCGUAGGCAGCUUACUAAACUGUAACUGACGCUGAGGCACGAAAGCGUGGGGAGCGAACAGGAUUAGAUACCCUGGUAGUCCACGCUGUAAACUAUGAUCACUCGCUGUUGGCGA
rnacentral:rRNA from 1 species